AGUCCCGUUCGGACGCCCGCCGUAGAGGCCCCGCCCCACUGCGGUCUUUGUGGCCUUGUUCGGUCGUGGACGUAGGACUGCGUUGCGUCCUCGUAGAAAAGGUGGGGUUCCGUGUGGAAACCGGCCAGGUGUUUCGUCGGCAGCCAGAAUCAGGGAAAGAAUUCAGGACGCGAGCCAGAGAAAGUAGAAAGGCGGGCGUACCGAGCAGAGAGGAUACGCAAGAACAGCCUCUCCGCAGACAGUAGGGACUCUCAGCAAGCGAAGGAAGAGAGACCCCCACCACGUCUAGAGGUUGAGCUUAUUUUAUACCUGUUUGUAGUUUCUAUGGGAACUUGCUGGUCUGAGGAAACGGGGAGUGGAAAUAAACGAUGAUUCGAAGACCAAGCACAAAGCCAAAGCAGUUUUAACUACUUUAUACUAUUUAGUGGAGAGUACUGGGAGUAAAGUUCUGCAAUUCCCAAGAGUAGAGUACUUAGUAUCCUGAAUGAAAACUGUGGAAAUGUGAGGACAUGCCUUAUAAACUGAUGUCACAUGGAUAAUGAUGCACCAAAGAAAAGUAAAGAAUUGAAAACUUCUAGAAGCAGUGAUGAAAUAUCCUCAAUUGAAGACGAUGAUCCUGGUCACUAUGCAAUGUCUCCUGUCUCCUUCCAGUUUUCUCACUUGUAUGUAAGGUAUGAUACCAAUUUUACUCUUUGUUUGGAGGAGUUGUGAAGAGCACCGGAAGAAGGGGAAACUAAGCAUCUACUGUGGACAUACAUUGCUGUCUGGCCCAGGGAGAUGGUGAUGGACCUGUUCUCUGACAGUCUGCCUAUCAAAGCAAGGACCUAAGGAACAAUAGACAUAAAGAAAGGUAGAUUUCCAAAGGAGGAGUCGCUGGCCCAUAUGGUAAUUC